GGACUACUGGGGUUUCUAAUCCUGUUUGCUCCCCACGCUUUCGCGCCUCAGCGUCAGUGUCGGUCCAGUGAGCCGCCUUCGCCACUGGUGUUCUUCCCAAUAUCUACGAAUUUCACCUCUACACUGGGAAUUCCACUCACCUCUCCCGAACUCAAGCCGCCCAGUCUCAAGCGCUAUUCCCAGGUUGAGCCCGGGGCUUUCACGCCUGACUUGAGCAACCGCCUACGCGCCCUUUACGCCCAGUAAUUCCGAACAACGCUAGCCCCCUUCGUAUUACCGCGGCUGCUGGCAC
rnacentral:rRNA from 1 species